CCCAAUGCUUGACUUUAUUCUUUUUCUGCUAUAACAGUAAAAUGUGCAUAUGGUAGACUAGACUAGAAUAUUGUGUUUGUGAUGCCAUACAGCAAACAUGCUUUAGUGAAGGAAAUGUCUUAUUUUAAAAAUGUUGAUGAUCUGGUGCUUGAUGGGGAAAAUAUUUCUGGUUGUUUUGAACUUUACAUGCUUGUGACUUGAAUCUGAUUACGUUUAUGUUAGCUUUGUAUUCAGCAUUGAUGUUUAAAGAGUAUAUUGUAUUUUUGUUGAUCCUGGCUGCUGUUUUUAGCAAAGUUAAUGCUCGACAUGUGUAAGAAUAUGUUCCCGGUGUUCUGUGUUAUAUGAAGUUCACUGGCCUUGGGAUUAUUUUAGUUCGCUCUUAGAUUGCUUUUUGUCUCUGUGGUAGCUCUGUGCUAGCAGUGUUUGGAAAGUUUGGCUAAAAGAGCUGAUGGUAGAUAGAAGAUCCAGCUUUGUAUAAAUGAGCAGUUGAAGAUGACAGAGAUGGAAGGAGCUGUAUUCUAUUUGUGUUGUUGUUAUUCCAAUAGUGUAUGUUCAUUCUAUAAAAGACAUACAAAAUAAUAGAUCAAUGGAUAAGUUGGUAUACACAUCCAUAUAUGUACAUACAGUACAUCAAAAAACUAUAUUCCAAUCACAGAGUCCAAAACUACACUUCAGUUCAAUUUUGUUUAUAUAGCACCAAAUCACAACAAUAGUUGUCUCAAGGCGCUUUCUCUUGUAAGGUGAAGACCCUACAAGAAUACAGAAAAAAAAGAGAAAAUCCAACAAUUAAAUGAUCCCAUAUUAACAACCACUUGGUGACACUGGGAAGGAAAAACUCCCUUUUAACAGGAAGAAAUCUCUGCCAGGACCAGGCUCAGAGAGGGGCGACAGGACAAAGGCAUGCUGUGGAAAAGAGCCAGAGAUGAAUAAUAAUUAAUGACUAAAAGCAGAGUUGUGUAUAAACACAUAGUGAGUGAAGAAGAAACACUCCCCCAGCAACCUAGGCAUAUUGCAGCCUAACUAUGGGAGGAUUCGGGGUCACCUGAUUGAGCCCUAGCUAUAUGCUUUAUCAAAAAAGGAACAUUUUAACCCAAUCUUAAAAGUAGAGAGGCUGUCUGUUUCCUGAAUCCAAACUGGGAGCUGGUUUUAGAGAAGAGAGGGCUAAAAGCUGAAGGCUCUUCCUCCCAUUCUACUUUUAAAUCCCAUAGGAACCACAAGUAACCCUGCAGUCUGAGAGUGAAAUGCUCUAUUGGGGUUAUAUGUAAUAUGAGGUCUUUUAGAAAAGAUGGGACUGAUUAUUUAAGACCUUGUAAGGAUAAGGCUUUUAAAUUUGAUUUUGGAUUUAACAGGGAGCCAACAAGAGAGCGUAAUAUGCUCUCUCUUUGUAGUCCCUGUCAGGACUCUUGCUGUAACAUUUUGGAUCAACUGAAGGCUUUUCACAGAGUUUUUAGGACAUCCUGAUAAUAAUGACAAAUGUCCAGCCUAGAAGGAUUAAAUGCACAAACUAAUUUUUCAGCAUCACUCUGAGACAGGAUAUUCUUAAUUUUAAAGAUAUUGUGCAAAUGGAAGAAAACGGUCCUACAUAUUUGUUUAAUAUGUGCAUUGAAGGACAUGUCUUGGUCAAAAACAACUCCAAGGUUCCACAGAGUGUUACUGGAGUCCAAGAUAAUGCCAUCCAAAUAUUGAACGCUGCACUGAGGUCUAGCAGGACCAGCGCAGAGGUGGGUCCACUGUCAGAGGCCAUAGGAAGAUCAUCUGCAACCUUCCCGAACGCUGUUUUGAAACCUGACUGAAACUCUUCAAAUAAAACAUUCCUAUGCGUAUGAUCAGUUAGCUGUUUUACAACUACUCUUUCAAGAGAGUUAUCCAGUGUUGAUUUCAUUCUGACUUAAGUGUUUAUGAAAAAUGCACUCAAUUGUAUGUAGUAUUAAAAAGGUCUUAUGCUUGAAAUUGACAGACUUCAAUUAAAAACUUAGAAAACUGAAGUCAAAUGGACUGAGCUGCAAUA